rnacentral:rRNA from 1 species
GAACGGGUGAGUAACACGUGAGCAACCUGCCCCUGACUCCGGGAUAAGCGGUGGAAACGCCGUCUAAUACCGGAUACGACCUCCCACCUCAUGGUGGAGGGUGGAAAGUUUUUCGGUCAGGGAUGGGCUCGCGGCCUAUCAGCUUGUUGGUGGGGUAACGGCCUACCAAGGCGAUUACGGGUAGCCGGCCUGAGAGGGCGACCGGCCACACUGGGACUGAGACACGGCCCAGACUCCUGCGGGAGGCAGCAGUGGGGAAUAUUGCGCAAUGGGCGAAAGCCUGACGCAGCGACGCCGCGUGGGGGAUGACGGCCUUCGGGUUGUAAACCUCUUUUACCACCAACGCAGGCUUCCAGUUCUCUGGGAGUUGACGGUAGGUGGGGAAUAAGGACCGGCUAACUACGUGCCAGCAGCCGCGGUAAUACGUAGGGUCCGAGCGUUGUCCGGAAUUAUUGGGCGUAAAGAGCUCGUAGGCGGCGUGUCACGUCUG